GUGGUUGGAAAAAUUAAAGAGAUUGUUGAAGAUUCAGAGUGGUGGGUCUUUUCUUGUGUUUGUGGUCAUCCAAUUGUAGGUGAUGAUAAUGUGUUUCAUUGUCAGCUGUGCGGCAGAGAGGUCCAGCAGGUAAAUCCAGGUUAUGAUUUAAAAAUUUUCUUUCAUCUGUUCUGAUUCAAUAAUGUAAGUAAGCUUCACGUAUCAGCUUCUUGUGAGACUCACAAAUAGAUUAAUCUGAUAUUUACUUUCUUGGUUAUAGUUACAGGAUUAAGAUAGUUGUUGAAGAUGGGACUUCUUGUGGAAAGUUUGUCUUGUUAGACAGUGCAGCCACUAAGCUAUUAGGGAGAACGUGUUCUGAUGUGUUUUUGUUGUUAGAAGAUGAACUGGAGAAAAUUGAGCACCAAUACUGUCCACAGUUUUUUCAUCAACUCAUUGGGAAAUAGAUUGUUUUCAAAGUUCAAGGAAAGAGGAUUAACACUCGCGGUUAUUGCGGUACCUUUAAAAUCAUCAAUGUUAUUAGUGAUGCAUGUUUUUUCAACAAACUUCAGGCUGAUCAAUGCAUCAAGGUUAGUACUCUUUCUUUAUGUUAGAUAUUAAUGAAUUGGAGGAAUCAUUUUUAGAUAUAGUUUGUUGAUCCCCAGUUUCUAAUUCUUUGUCUGUUGUUUUGAAUGGUAUUCUUUACAUGCCAAUAUGAUUUUUACUCAUACUUUACAAAGUUGGCUGCGUUUUGUAAUUCAUGCUUUGCUUCCAAAUUUUAAGGAUGUUAGUUCUGAUUCGGCCUUUAGCCCAAUACUUGAAGACUUCUCUCAGUGUGGACAGCUUAGAAGUUAUGACAACCAAGUCAUAUCUGGUGUUCCAAUACAACUGCAUAGCAUUAAAGAGAUGCUUGCUGACAUUCUUUGUGCUAAAAUAUAUUCUUCUGCAUCAAGAAAUGUUAGUAUUUAUGUUUAUGUUCUCAACCGUCUGAACUGUGUUUCAACAUGUGUAGUAUGAUAAAACAUGUAUCAUAAUAUACCAAUUAUUGUUUCUCUACAGGAUCAUAUUUGUUUUUUGAUCGGUGAGAUUAUUGACGUUCUGAAACAUCAGAAGUGGUGGUACUACUGCUGUUUGUGUAAUGCACCUGUUUGUUAUGUUAGGAAUUUAUUUUAUUGUUAUCUGUGUAGAGUUGAGUGUGUUGAUGUCAUAAGAAGGUAUCGGAUCAAAAUUAUUGUUUCCCAUUCAAAUGGCAGCAAUAUUUUCAUACUUGAGGAUGAUGAGGUGAUGCAAAUACUCAAAAAGAGUUGUUCAGAAUUUUUUAUAGACGAAGAAAAUUCCUCCCAAGUAAUCAUUUUGGUUUUAAUUUAAUUUAAUUGUCCUUGUUUUCAGUUUAGUGUUUAUGGUUCAGGUAUGUGAAUUUUGCUAAUGACCUAUUCUAUUUUUUUUCCUUAGUCAAAAGAUGAUUACACUGUUCCGAAUAGCAUGAUUUCUCAGUUAAUGAACAAGAAAAUUGUCUUCAUAGUGGAUCCUAGACCCAUUGGAUAUGAAUUGAAUACAUCUCUUCAUGUUGUUCGUGUAAUAUGUAACACCCUACCAUACAGAGUCUUAUGCUUAAGUCAUAAUUCAGAGAUGGCAAGGUAUUACGACCUCUAAAACAAGAAUUUAGUACCUAUAGUAGGAUGAAUAAUUGAUUAUA